rnacentral:rRNA from 1 species
GUAGGUGGCAAGCGUUGUCCGGAAUUAUUGGGCGUAAAGCGCGCGCAGGUGGGUCUUUAAGUCUGAUGUGAAAGCCCCCGGCUCAACCGGGGAGGGUCAUUGGAAACUGGGGAACUUGAGUGCAGGAGAGGAAAGUGGAAUUCCACGUGUAGCGGUGAAAUGCGUAGAUAUGUGGAGGAACGCCAGUGGCGAAGGCGACUUUCUGGCCUGUAACUGACACUGAGGCGCGAAAGCGUGGGGAGCAAACAGGAUUAGAUACCCUGGUAGUCCACGCCGUAAACGAUGAGUGCUAAGUGUUGGGGGGUUUCCGCCCCUCAGUGCUGCAGCUAACGCAUUAAGCACUCCGCCUGGGGAGUACGGUCGCAAAGACUG